rnacentral:rRNA from 1 species
UACGGGGGGGGCAAGCGUUGUUCGGAAUUACUGGGCGUAAAGGGCUCGUAGGCGGCCAACUAAGUCGGAUGUGAAAUCCCCAGGCUUAACCUGGGAACUGCAUCCGAUACUGGAUGGCUUGAAUCCGGGAGAGGGAUGCAGAAUUCCAGGUGUAGCGGUGAAAUGCGUAGAUAUCAAGAGGAACACCUGAGGUGAAGACGGGUUGCUGGGCCGACACUGACGCUGAGGCGCGAAAGCCAGGGGAGCAAACGGG